UACGUAGGGUGCAAGCGUUGUCCGGAAUUAUUGGGCGUAAAGAGCUCGUAGGCGGUCUGGCGCGUCUGCUGUGAAAACUCAGGGCUUAACCCUGAGCUUGCAGUGGGUACGGGCAGACUAGAGUGCGGUAGGGGAGACUGGAAUUCCUGGUAUAGCGGUGAAAUGCGUAGAUAUCAGGAGGAACACCGGUGGCGAAGGCGGCUCUCUGGUCCGCAACUGACGCUGAGGUGCGAAAGCUAGGGGAGCAAACGGG
rnacentral:rRNA from 1 species